GAACCUAUAACUCAGUUGGUUAGAGUAUACGCCUGAUAAGUGUAAAGUCAGUCGUUCAAAUCGACUUAGGUUCA
rnacentral:tRNA from 1 species